rnacentral:rRNA from 1 species
AUUGAACGCUGGCGGCAGGCCUAACACAUGCAAGUCGAGCGGAUGAAGGGAGCUUGCUCCUGGAUUCAGCGGCGGACGGGUGAGUAAUGCCUAGGAAUCUGCUUGGUAGUGGGGGAUAACGUCCGGAAACGGGCGCUAAUACCGCAUACGACCUGAGGGAGAAAGUGGGGGAUCGUCGGACCUCACGCUAUCAGAUGAGCCUAGGUCGGAUUAGCUAGUUGGUGGGGUAAAGGCCUACCAAGGCGACGAUCCGUAACUGGUCUGAGAGGAUGAUCAGUCACACUGGAACUGAGACACGGUCCAGACUCCUACGGGAGGCAGCAGUGGGGAAUAUUGGACAGUAGGCGAAAGCCUGAUCCAGCCAUGCCGCGUGUGUGAAGAAGGUCUUCGGAUUGUAAAGCACUUUAAGUUGGGAGGAAGGGCAGUAAGUUAAUACCUUGCUGUUUUGACGUUACCAACAGAAUAAGCACCGGCUAACUUCGUG